rnacentral:tRNA from 3 species
CGGGCCGUAGCGCAGCUUGGUAGCGCAUCUGCUUUGGGAGCAGAGGGUCGCAGGUUCGAAUCCUGUCGGCCCGACCA